UACGUAGGUGGCAAGCGUUGUCCGGAUUUACUGGGCGUAAAGAGCGCGCAGGCGGUCGUUCAAGUCGCGUGUGAAAGCCCCCGGCUCAACUGGGGAGGGUCACGCGAUACUGAUCGACUGGAAGGCAGGAGAGGGUAGUGGAAUUCCCGGUGUAGUGGUGAAAUGCGUAGAUAUCGGGAGGAACACCAGUGGCGAAGGCGGCUCUCUGGGCCUUACCUGACGCUGAGGAGCGAAAGCGUGGGUAGCGAACAGG
rnacentral:rRNA from 1 species